rnacentral:rRNA from 1 species
GAUGAACGCUGGCGGCGUGCUUAACACAUGCAAGUCGAACGGAAAGGCCCAAGUUUGCUUGGGUACUCGAGUGGCGAACGGGUGAGUAACACGUGGGUGAUCUGCCCUGCACUUCGGGAUAAGCCUGGGAAACUGGGUCUAAUACCGGAUAGGACGAUGGUUUGGAUGCCAUUGUGGAAAGUUUUUUCGGUGUGGGAUGAGCUCGCGGCCUAUCAGCUUGUUGGUGGGGUAAUGGCCUACCAAGGCGUCGACGGGUAGCCGGCCUGAGAGGGUGUACGGCCACAUUGGGACUGAGAUACGGCCCAGACUCCUACGGGAGGGAGCAGUGGGGAAUAUUGCACAAUGGGCGCAAGCCUGAUGCAGCGACGCCGCGUGGGGGAUGACGGCCUUCGGGUUGUAAACUCCUUUCGCUAGGGACGAAGCGUUUUUGUGACGGUACCUGGAGAAGAAGCACCGGCUAACUACGUG